AAGGACCCCGGAGCCAGAGCCUCGGGUUCGCUCUCCGCUGGGCUGCUUGGAGAACCUAGAUUCGAAAAGAGCUUCCGGAGG
rfam:Tursiops truncatus cont1.424953, whole genome shotgun sequence.